AGAGUUUGAUCCUGGCUCAGAGCGAACGCUGGCGGCAGGCCUAAUACAUGCAAGUCGAGCGCACCUUCGGGUGAGCGGCGGACGGGUGAGUAACGCGUGGGAACGUGCCCUUUGGUUCGGAACAACACAGGGAAACUUGUGCUAAUACCGAAUGUGCCCUUCGGGGGAAAGAUUUAUCGCCAUUGGAGCGGCCCGCGUUGGAUUAGGUAGUUGGUGGGGUAAAGGCCUACCAAGCCUACGAUCCAUAGCUGGUCUGAGAGGAUGAUCAGCCACACUGGGACUGAGACACGGCCCAGACUCCUACGGGAGGCAGCAGUAGGGAAUCUUGCGCAAUGGGCGAAAGCCUGACGCAGCCAUGCCGCGUGUAUGAUGAAGGUCUUAGGAUUGUAAAAUACUUUCACCGGGGAAGAUAAUGACGGUACCCGGAGGAGAAGCCCCGGCUAACUUCGUGCCAGCAGCCGCGGUAAUA
rnacentral:rRNA from 1 species